GGUUACGGCCAUACCACCUUAGGCACGCCCGAUCUCGUCUGAUCUCGGAAGCUAAGCAGGGUCGGGCCUGGUUAGUACUUG
rnacentral:rRNA from 10 species